rnacentral:rRNA from 1 species
AAUCAAGCGCGAAAAGGGCGUUUGGUGAAUGCCUUGGCAGUAAGAGGCGAUGAAAGACGUGAUACUCUGCGAUAAGCCAUGGGGAGCUGAGAAUAAGCUUUGAUCCAUGGAUUUCUGAAUGGGGGAACCCACCUGACAGUUUGAUAUAAUUGCACUUCGGUGCAGCUUAUAUCCGACUGAACCAGGUAUUUAUAACCUGAAUACAUAGGGUUAUAAAAGCAAACCCGGGGAACUGAAACAUCUAAGUACCCGGAGGAAAGGAAAUCAAUUGAUACUCCCCUAGUAGCGGCGAGCGAACGGGGACCAGCCGAGCCUUGAAAGUGAUCAGAAUGUGUUGGGAAGCACAGCCAUAGUGGGUGAUAGCCCCGUAUGAGAAGCUCGAUAGGACGUAUUAAGUAGGGCGGAACACGUGAAAUUCUGUCUGAAGAUCGGAGGACCACCUUCGAAGGCUAAGUACUCCUUACUGACCGAUAGUGAACCAGUACCGUGAGGGAAAGGUGAAAAGCACCCCGACGAGGGGAGUGAAACAGUUCCUGAAACCGAACGCCUACAAUCAGUCGGAGCUUGACUGGACUCUAAUGACAAUCCUGACGGCCUGAUGUAAGCCUCCUGCAAAGAGCAGAGGGAAAGCAUCAUGGACGGAAGUUUGGCAAUCUUGUUUCUCGUGGCGGGUCUGACCGACAUGGGAAUCAAUCACUGUGGUCAAGGCGGUUGCCUUGCACAGGCCGACGCGCGGCCCGAAAUCGGGCUCAGCUACGGCGACCUGAUCUUUCAGGACAAGAGUGUCGGGAAAGAAACCUAUAUUACCUACGGCCUUGGUCGUAUGUAUGGUCCUUUCCAGCCGGCAAUCGGCGCAUCUGUAACGAACCAUGGCGAUGCCUGGAUCGGGAUCGGUGCGACGUAUACGGCCAACUUCGCGGCAGACCGGCUUUACGCCAAAAUGUCGCUCAUGCCCGGCUAUUACAGCCGCGGCAGUGGACCGGAUCUUGGCCAUGACCUCGAGUUUCGCUCGGGUCUGGAGCUGGGAUACAAGGCCCGCAACGGGAUCAAGGUCGGUCUCAGCUAUGACCACAGGUCUAACGCUGACAUAUCGUCCGUUAAUCCGGGGAUGGAAACGAUCCAGCUACGGGUCAGCUUCCCCCUCAAAUAACCAGAAAUGGUUGUCAUUAGUGUCCAGUCUUGUGACGGCGUACCUUUUGUAUAAUGGGUCAUCGACUUGGUCUCACGAGCAAGCUUAAGCCGUUAGGUGUAGGCGCAGCGAAAGCGAGUCUUAAUAGGGCGGAUGAGUUCGUGGGAUCAGACCCGAAACCGAGUGAUCUAGGCAUGACCAGGCUGAAGGUAAGGUAACACUUACUGGAGGGCCGAACCCACACCUGUUGAAAAAGGUCGGGAUGAGUUGUGCCUAGGGGUGAAAGGCCAAUCAAACUCGGAGAUAGCUGGUUCUCUGCGAAAUCUAUUUAGGUAGAGCGUCAUCCGAAUACCCCGGGGGGUAGAGCACUGGAUGGGUAAUGGGGCCCCACAGGCUUACUGAUCCUAACCAAACUCCGAAUACCCGGGAGUACUAGAUGGCAGACACACUGCGGAUGCUAACGUCCGUAGUGGAGAGGGAAACAACCCUGACCUCCAGCUAAGGCCCCUAAUUCAUGGCUAAGUGGGAAAGCAGGUGGGACGACCAAAACAACCAGGAGGUUGGCUUAGAAGCAGCCAUCCUUUAAAGAUAGCGUAACAGCUCACUGGUCUAAAUAAGUUGUCCUGCGGCGAAGAUGUAACGGGGCUCAAGCCAUGAGCCGAAGCUGAGGAUGCCGUAAGGCAUGGUAGCAGAGCGUAGUGUGACAUAGUUCCAUGCGUCCUUAACCUUGUUCGCAAGGUAUUGGACGCAAGGAGCUUUCGAUGAAGCCGGGGCGUGAGCCAUCCGGUGGAGAGAUCACUAGCGAGAAUGAUGACAUGAGUAGCGACAAACAGGGUGAGAGACCCUGUCGCCGAAAGUCCAAGGGUUCCUGCUUAAAGCUAAUCUGAGCAGGGUAAGCCGACCCCUAAGGCGAGGCCGAAAGGCGUAGUCGAUGGGAACCAGGUUAAUAUUCCUGGGCCGUGGAGUGGUGACGGAUCAUGAAGGUAGUUCAUCCUUAUUGGAUUGAAUGGGCUGCUGAUUGGUUCCUGGAAAUAGCCCUCCUAUAAGAUCGUACCCUAAACCGACACAGGUGGACUGGUAGAGAAUACCAAGGCGCUUGAGAGAACUAUGUUGAAGGAACUCGGCAAAAUACCUCCGUAAGUUCGCGAGAAGGAGGCCCGGUUCCUAGGCAACUAGGGGCUGGGGGCACAAACCAGGGGGUGGCGACUGUUUACUAAAAACACAGGGCUCUGCGAAGUCGCAAGACGACGUAUAGGGUCUGACGCCUGCCCGGUGCCUGAAGGUUAAAAGGAGAGGUGAGAGCCUUGAAUUGAAGCCCAGGUAAACGGCGGCCGUAACUAUAACGGUCCUAAGGUAGCGAAAUUCCUUGUCGGGUAAGUUCCGACCUGCACGAAUGGCGUAACGACUUCCCCGCUGUCUCCAACAUAGACUCAGCGAAAUUGAAUUGCCUGUCAAGAUGCAGGCUUCCCGCGGUUAGACGGAAAGACCCCGUGCACCUUCACUACAGCUUCGCACUGGCAUCAGGCACAAUAUGUGCAGGAUAGGUGGUAGGCUUUGAAGCAGGAACGCCAGUUUCUGUGGAGCCUCCCUUGAGAUACCACCCUUAUUCUGCUUGAUGUCUAACCGCGGUCCGUUAUCCGGAUCCGGGACCCUGCGUGGCGGGUAGUUUGACUGGGGCGGUCGCCUCCUAAAGAGUAACGGAGGCGCGCGAAGGUUGGCUCAGACCGGUCGGAAAUCGGUCGUUGAGUGCAAUGGCAGAAGCCAGCCUGACUGCGAGACUGACAAGUCGAGCAGAGACGAAAGUCGGUCAUAGUGAUCCGGUGGUCCCGAGUGGAAGGGCCAUCGCUCAACGGAUAAAAGGUACGCCGGGGAUAACAGGCUGAUACUGCCCAAGAGUCCAUAUCGACGGCAGUGUUUGGCACCUCGAUGUCGGCUCAUCUCAUCCUGGGGCUGGAGCAGGUCCCAAGGGUACGGCUGUUCGCCGUUUAAAGAGGUACGUGAGCUGGGUUUAGAACGUCGUGAGACAGUUCGGUCCCUAUCUGCCGUGGGUGUAGGAUACUUGAGAGGAGUUGCCCCUAGUACGAGAGGACCGGGGUGAACGUUCCACUGGUGGACCAGUUGUCGUGCCAACGGCAGUGCUGGGUAGCUAUGAACGGACAGGAUAACCGCUGAAGGCAUCUAAGCGGGAAGCCCCCCUCAAAACAAGGUAUCCCUGAGGACCGUGGAAGACCACCACGUCAAUAGGCCGGAGAUGUAAGUGCAGCAAUGCAUUCAGUUGACCGGUACUAAUCGUCCGAUAGGCUUGAUUUG